rfam:Populus trichocarpa isolate Nisqually-1 chromosome 18, whole genome shotgun sequence.
CUUUUUAGGGCUAAACGUUAACAUUUUAAACGAGUCUCUUAUUUUUAGGGACUAGUGUCAUUUUUUUGACGUGUCUUUUAUUUUUAGGGACC